ensembl:lncRNA
GAUCUUUAUUUUGUUCAGUGUUCUAUAAAGCAAUGUUUUUAUUGUUCUUUAUGCAGUAUUUUCCUACAUGAAAAAUGACUAUGUCAUCAAAGCGAUCAUGCUACGAGGUUGAAGGAUACGUCCAUCAGGUGUCCCCUGUACUACAGUCUCUAAAGGCUAAAUAUUUCACUGCUCUACUGCAGGAGUGUGACCGUAACACUCGCGUGGUGGUGUUUGAUAUACAGCACCACAAUGUCUUUGAGUGUGUGGAGAAAGACAGGCAAGUGACAAUUCUUUUAGGUUUCUCAUUAAACAUGAACAGAAUAAGUGAUAUGUUGGGAGUAACUAAUAAAUUAAAUUAAAUUUACGCACGUAGCAGAUGCUUUUAUCCAAAGCGACUUACAGAGCAUUCAGGCUAACAUUUUUUUUUUUUUACCUAACAUGUAUUACCUGGGAAUGAAACCCACAACCUUGCACUGCUAACGCAAUGCUCUACCACUUGAGCCACAGGAACUCUAGUACAUGCUAAUACUAAUACAUGCUGUUUUACGACAGCAGCAUGUCAUUCUUGCUCCCAGUAGUAUUAGUGUAUGUAUUGGCUGUAACUAAUCCAUACCUGUUCUGCAGCAGCAUAGCACUACUAAUUUGCCAAGAAAUAGCAUUAACAUUGUCACAUUCUUUGACAUGACAGACUUUAAAUUGUUAUAGUAGAAUUUGUUAUUCAUCUGUAAUGGUUGACAAGUGAAAUUGCAACUUGAUUUUUCUUUUCUCCUUACAGGAGUCCUGUGAAACUAACUGGAGUCACAAUAAGGCCAUCCUUCCAAAAUUCAGGAAGAGAUGAUAUUAUUAUAAACAGUUACAGCAAAAUUUAGAUCAUUCGACACAUACCAUUUGCUUUUGAUGAUGGUCUAAGAGCCAUUAGUAAAUCCAGAACCCUAAUGGAUAUUGCCAGUGACAUCAAGGAAUAUCAGAGGGUGACCAUCCAGGUCAAAAUACUUUCUCUCUGCUUUGAGAAGCUGACACUAACUCGCAGUCAAAAGCAAGUCAUGAGGAAGACAUAUCGAGUUGCUGAUAAGACUUACAGUAUGGCUCUAAGCAUCUGGGGUGAUGGCCAUGUUGAUGUUGGCAAGUGGUAUGAGAUGCAAAACAUUUCGGUCCGGCAGUUCAAUAUGAAGCCUUGCCUGUCUACCACUUUGCAAACGGAGAUCAAGGUUCUGCAAGAUUUGGGCAACUGCUUUCAGAGGGAUGAAGAUGAAGUUACCACCAUUGAGGGCGACAUUGUUGACACUGAAAUAAAAGUGAAUCACCUGUGUCCAAAAUUACAUAAAAUGGAUCCAGUUAACACCACCACAUUAAUGAAUCAUUGUAUGAAAUGUGACUCCUUUUGUAAAACCACAAAAAUAAAGUCCAUUUUAAAUGGCCAUAUAUCAAUCGAGUCAAAUGCAGUUCACCAGAAAAUCAUCAUGGAUGAUGGUCAUCUCCGUGAGCUGUUAAAUUUGUCAGAAAACUUCAAAGAUACCACCGAUGAGCUGGCAUCCAAAGUUUUAAGUAAUGACCGGCUAAGGGUCCAGAUGAUGGACCGUGUACUUGUAAAGGCAGAGUUUGUUAAGGCCAGUGAAGGUAGCGGUGUCUCCCCUGGUCCAAGUAGCGGAGCCUCCCCUGGUCCAAGUGGCAGUGCCUCCCCUGGUCCAAGUGGUGGUGCCUCCUGUGGUCCAAGUAGUGGUGCCUCCCGUGGUCCAAGUAGCGUUGCCUUCCCUGCUUCAAAUGCAGCCAUGGACAAAAUGGUGUCUGACACAGAAUCAGAAGGGCUUGAGUUUCUUUUCAGUGAAGACAAAGAAUUUGAUUAA